GCCUGGGCUGCGGGGGAGUCUGGGUCACUGGCUGCAGGGAGGGGCACGUUCUCACUCGUGGAACAUUCUCAGGCCAACACAGUCACAAAUGGGGUCACUUCUGAUGGUGCUCGGCUGCCGCAGCUGCAAGCCAUGAAUCGCCCACGCUAGCUUUGGUUGGGGCAGAGUCCUAGGGCCUGAGUGAGAGAUGAAGCAGGAGGGACAGUGGACCAGCCAGGCUCCCUGCGAGGUCCUCCCAAUGGCACCUGAGGAUGGGGAAGCAAGGGUGGCCUGAGGGACCCUGCAGCCUCUGUAGGCACCCCUUCCUCUGUUGCCUGGCCUGAGCACAGCUGCCCUAGGACCAGCAGAGCCUACACCUCACCGCUCCCUCCCGCAGAGGGUGCGGCAGAGCGAGGGCCCACCUUCCACCAGAGACUCCACCCUCACUUCGGAGAAAGCUGAAUUCAGAAAGACCCACUCCUUCCCACGCAGGCAGGGAGGGUGCCCGGUGGGGGUCUGGGCUCCAUGGAGGAGGUAUUGGAGCAGGACAGCGGGCAGCUUUAGGGGACGCAGCCUCUAGGCCGGUCUGAGCCCCAAGGGUCAGGAGAUCGGUUACGCACAGGAGACCGAGCACGUGAGCGCAUGCAGGGAGGCCGGCGGGGCUGACAGGAGGUGCGAUGUAGAGAGGACGGCAGCCACAGCGGCGCACACGGUAUUAGAUUCACCUCGGAAGCACCGGAAUGCAGGGUUCCCAAUACAAAUAGGUAGAAGAAUCUGCAGAUGAAAUGUGUGUGUGCGUGCGUCUGCAAAGUAAGAAAAUGCCAGGAAACAUGGAUGGAAAAGGCACAGAUGCCAGCCUGAAGGGUCCCCCGCUGAGACAAACUUAACAACAAAAUAAACUAAAGAAGGACAGGAACAGAUGAUGGCCCAUGCAUAAAAUGAGACUCUGUGGUUCUAUAUAGAUGUCAAUAUACUUAAUUAAUAAAUGGGGGAAAAAGAAAGCUCACCCACCCCGGUAGAAUUCCAGUUGAUAAGUGACCGCAUGAGGAAUUCCCCCCGGCAGCCGUUGCUGUCACAAUUAAUUCAGGCAACAAGAACAUCAGUCAGUGCCAAACCUGGUGGCGAACGUGGAGUGAAGAAUGGGGUUUUACAUCACCUCUGAGUGUCCCCACGAAAUGUGCAUGAAUGACAGAGAAGGAAGGAAUUUCCAGUGGAGACCCCUGCAGACGCCACGUUCCCCAGAUGGUCAAGGUCAAUGCCCCCUGGAGUGGACACAUUGAGUCAAGGUCUUAGAAGUCAAGGAGAGACUGAGGACUGUUCCAGGUUGAAGAUGAGCAUGAAGUCUUAUAAUCCCUGUAAUCCCAGCACUUUGGGAGGCCGAGGUGGGCAGAUCACCUGAGGUCAGGAGUUCGACACCAGCCUGGCCAACCAACAUGGUGAAACCACGUCUCUACUACAAAUACAAAAAUUAGCCAGAUGUGGUGGCACAUGUCUGUAGUACCAGUUACUCGAGAGGCUGAGGCAGGAGAAUCGCUUGAACCUGGGAGACGGAGCUUGCAGUGAGCCGAGAUCGCACCACUGCACUCCAGCCUGGGCGACAGAGUGAGAUUCCUUCUCAAAAAAAAAAAAAAAGAAAGAAA